rnacentral:rRNA from 1 species
UGGGGAAUAUUGGACAAUGGGCGAAAGCCUGAUCCAGCCAUGCCGCGUGAGUGAUGAAGGCCUUAGGGUUGUAAAGCUCUUUUGUCAGGGAAGAUAAUGACGGUACCUGAAGAAUAAGCACCGGCUAACUUCGUGCCAGCAGCCGCGGUAAUACGAAGGGUGCUAGCGUUGUUCGGAAUUACUGGGCGUAAAGCGCGCGUAGGCGGCCGUACUCGUCAGGGGUGAAAUCCCGGGGCUUAACCCCGGAACUGCCUUUGAAACUGUGCGGCUGGAGUGUGUGAGGGGAUAGCGGAAUUCCUAAUGUAGAGGUGAAAUUCGUAGAUAUUAGGAGGAACACCGGUGGCGAAGGCGGCUAUCUGGCACACAACUGACGCUGAGGUGCGAAAGCGUGGGGAUCAAACAGGAUUAGAUACCCCCGUAGUCC